rnacentral:sRNA from 1 species
AAGCUCACCCGCCAUUUUGUAGGUCUGAGGGUGCUUGGACAUACUCUUCGAGCUAGUACUAAUGAAUUUUUGCUGCUGAUAAUUUUCCUGGCUCUAGGAGUUUUGAUAUUUGCUACCAUGAUCUACUAUGCCGAGAGAGUGGGAGCUCAACCUAACGAUCCUUCAGCUAGUGAGCACACACAGUUCAAAAACAUUCCCAUUGGGUUCUGGUGGGCUGUAGUGACCAUGACUACCCUGGGUUAUGGGGAUAUGUACCCCCAAACAUGGUCAGGCAUGCUGGUGGGAGCCCUGUGUGCUCUGGCUGGAGUGCUGACAAUAGCUAUGCCAGUGCCUGUCAUUGUCAACAAUUUUGGAAUGUACUACUCCUUGGCAAUGGCAAAGCAGAAACUUCCAAGGAAAAGAAAGAAGCACAUCCCUCCUGCUCCUCAGGCAAGCUCACCUACUUUUUGCAAGACAGAAUUAAAUAUGGCCUGCAAUAGUACACAGAGUGACACAUGUCUGGGCAAAGACAAUCGACUUCUGGAACAUAACAGAUCAGGCUCCCCAUCAGACGCUCUAGUACCAGAGACAAA